CCUACGGGGGGCAGCAGUGGGGAAUAUUGCACAAUGGGCGCAAGCCUGAUGCAGCCAUGCCGCGUGUAUGAAGAAGGCCUUCGGGUUGUAAAGUACUUUCAGCGGGGAGGAAGGUGUUGUGGUUAAUAACCACAGCAAUUGACGUUACCCGCAGAAGAAGCACCGGCUAACUCCGUGCCAGCAGCCGCGGUAAUACGGAGGGUGCAAGCGUUAAUCGGAAUUACUGGGCGUAAAGCGCACGCAGGCGGUUGAUUAAGUCAGAUGUGAAAUCCCCGGGCUC
rnacentral:rRNA from 1 species